GGGCCCAUAGCGUAGCGGUCUAUCGCAUCUGACUGGCAGUCAGAAGGUCGAGGGUUCGAAUCCCUCUGGGUCCA
rnacentral:tRNA from 1 species